rnacentral:rRNA from 1 species
UACGGGGGGGGCAAGCGUUGUUCGGAAUUACUGGGCGUAAAGGGCUCGUAGGUGGCCAACUAAGUCGGACGUGAAAUCCCUCAGCUUAACUGGGGAACUGCGUCUGAUACUGGAUGGCUUGGAUCCGGGAGAGGGAUGCAGAAUUCCAGGUGUAGCGGUGAAAUGCGUAGAUAUCUGGAGGAAUACCGGUGGCGAAGGCGGCAUCCUGGACCGGCAUUGACGCUGAAGCGCGAAAGCUAGGGGAGCAAACGGG